rnacentral:rRNA from 1 species
ACGAAGGGUGCAAGCGUUACUCGGAAUUACUGGGCGUAAAGCGUGCGUAGGUGGUUGUUUAAGUCUGUCGUGAAAGCCCUGGGCUCAACCUGGGAAUUGCGAUGGAUACUGGGCGACUAGAGUGUGGUAGAGGGUGGCGGAAUUCCCGGUGUAGCAGUGAAAUGCGUAGAUAUCAGGAGGAAUACCGAUGGCGAAGGCAGGUCUCUGGGCUGACACUGACGCUCAUGCACGAAAGCGUGGGGAGCAAACAGGA